rnacentral:rRNA from 1 species
UACGUAGGGGGCUAGCGUUGUCCGGAUUUAUUGGGCGUAAAGAGCGUGUAGGCGGCCAGGUAGGUCUGCUGUGAAAACUCGAGGCUCAACCUCGAGACGUCGGCGGAAACCAUCUGGCUAGAGUCCGGAAGAGGAGAGUGGAAUUCCUGGUGUAGCGGUGAAAUGCGCAGAUAUCAGGAGGAACACCAAUGGCGAAGGCAGCUCGCUGGGACGUUACUGACGCUGAGACGCGAAAGCGUGGGGAGCAAACAGG